UACGUAGGUGGCAAGCGUUGUCCGGAUUUACUGGGCGUAAAGAGCGCGCAGGCGGUCGUUCAAGUCGCGUGUGAAAGCCCCCGGCUCAACUGGGGAGGGUCACGCGAUACUGAUCGACUCGAAGGCAGGAGAGGGUAGUGGAAUUCCCGGUGUAGUGGUGAAAUGCGCAGAUAUCGGGAGGAACACCAAUGGCGAAGGCAGCUCGCUGGGACGGUACUGACGCUGAGACGCGAAAGCGUGGGGAG
rnacentral:rRNA from 1 species